GAAACAUGCUAAGACUUUAGAAAGAAAAUAUUAAGUUCUCCAUCAACUUCCCUUUCAUAGUCUUAGUGUAGUUGAUGCUUCUUUGGAUGGGAAGUCCCCAAAGGGGUUGCCAUCAGCUAUCCUUCUUGAAUGGUGCAGUAAACUUGCUAAGCGCUUCAAAAACACUUGAGAUUUGAAUGUCUUGAUUUUAACAAAAUUUUAUAAAUCAAACAUUUAACAACUUCUAUAAAUCAUCCAGCCACCACCAAAGUUGUUAAGCAUCAUUUCAACUUCAAAAUACUAUUCAACCUCCUUCUCAUUCUAGUGUUUUCCUAGAAUUUCACCACAUUAAAAAAUAAACUUAAUUUAGCAUUCCUUAUCUAGAUAAAUAUCUGCUUUCUUCUUUGUCCAAAGUUCUCAACCCCUCCUUCAAGCUUCUUCAAUGUCUUCUCAUCAGCACUUCACAUCCUCAUAGUUUCUUUUUGUUUUGCACUUC
rnacentral:lncRNA from 1 species